rnacentral:rRNA from 1 species
UAGGGAAUCUUCCGCAAUGGGCGAAAGCCUGACGGAGCAACGCCGCGUGAGUGAAGAAGGUCUUCGGAUCGUAAAACUCUGUUAUUAGGGAAGAACAAAUGUGUAAGUAACUAUGCACGUCUUGACGGUACCUAAUCAGAAAGCCACGGCUAACUACGUGCCAGCAGCCGCGGUAAUACGUAGGUGGCAAGCGUUAUCCGGAAUUAUUGGGCGUAAAGCGCGCGUAGGCGGUUUUUUAAGUCUGAUGUGAAAGCCCACGGCUCAACCGUGGAGGGUCAUUGGAAACUGGAAAACUUGAGUGCAGAAGAGGAAAGUGGAAUUCCAUGUGUAGCGGUGAAAUGCGCAGAGAUAUGGAGGAACACCAGUGGCGAAGGCGACUUUCUGGUCUGUAACUGACGCUGAUGUGCGAAAGCGUGGGGAUCAAACAGGAUUAGAUACCCUGGUAGUCCACGCCGUAAACGAUAAGUGCUAAGUGUUAGGGGGUUUCCGCCCCUUAGUGCUGCAGCUAACGCAUUAAGCACUCCGCCUGGGGAGUACGACCGCAAGGUUG